CCGGCCAGACGCAGCACAGCAGCGGCGCUCACACUGACCUGUUUAUUCACAUGGUGGAUAUGAACUGAAGGCCGGGUUCUCCAGUCUCACUGCCCGUUUACUCUCAAGCCGUCCACAAACUCCUCCUCCUGCUGCUGCCUGUCAGGGGGUGUGGUUACACUGGCCCCGCCCUCAGUUUCGGGCUUGACAGGCCCCACCCCCAAUGUCCCGUCGGUGCUGUCGGUCUGGGCCUCUUCCUCCUCGUCCUGCGUCUCCUCCUCGCCUCCAUCCUGUGGGAUAUCGGGGCCUUCGGCAUCCAGUGGGCUGACUGUGUGAUUUCACCAACCUGCCACCAGUUCCAGUUUCUCUCCGGGGUCUCCCUCCGUGUAGAGUUUGGGAUGGCAUCGGUAGCCGAUCUGACUGAUGAGACUAGCGGGCAGAGCCACCAGAUCCCUGCGGAUCAGCACACACGAGCGGUUCUCCAGCGACACUGGCAUGACCGCCAUCUCCGGCUUCUCUGCCACUGGAAGAAACGGAGUGCCGAAAACAUUCAGAACCUCUGAUACGGCCUCAAAUCACGACAAGUCAUGCUGUGAAAUCGAUCCUGAAGUUUGAGAACUCGA
rnacentral:lncRNA from 1 species